CUGAGCCCCUGAGAGUCUGGGUGAAUUGCCUAACAUCACACAGCUAUUAAGGGCAGCCCAGUACUCUCUAAGGGAUGAAAACUGUGAAUUGAUAUACACACCCAGAGCCUCCACCAGCAGCCAUAAAGUUUGCAGCCGAGACAAAGAAACCUAACUGGGGCAGUGGAGUAGAUUGAAAAGGAAAGAGGGAAGAGGCAGGAGGCUAGUUGCUGUGGACCAGGCUGCGCUUGCUGGAACCACACACACUGAACUUCCUGGGACAUCCCCUGUCUGGGUGGACACCACGUCCUGCGGCAUGUUUUCUGCUAACGUGAUUUUCCUAACUCCUCGGCUAGUCUCCUGGCUUCUGAUUUUAUCAACAUGUAUCAGGAAUCAAAUUAAAUUUUGAUCAUUUUUGGAAAGGAGAAAGAAGAGUCUUCCACAGACAAUUAAAAUACAAAAAGAAAAACACGGAGCUAUCACGGGACAGGACAGAAUGAUAGAGAGGAUGGACCCGCCACACUGGAAAUGGAAGGAAGUGAAAUAAACCAAUGGACCAGCUACUGUGAAACCUGUCAUCCUUCCUGAAACAAAUCAUUCAAGAGACAGCCCCUUUGAAAUACAUGAGCAAACACUGCUCAGGCUUUUUAAAUCAAUGCAUACAAACAGAUUUUUAAACAAUAUAUGAAUGAAACGACAUGCCUAGUUUCAUAUUUUGAUUUUUUCCCACCCUAUAUUAUUUCACAUUUUCUAUACGAGGAAGAGAAAUAAACUUUUGAUUCAACAGGG
rnacentral:lncRNA from 10 species